UGGGGAAUAUUGGACAAUGGGCGCAAGCCUGAUCCAGCAAUGCCGCGUGCGUGAAGAAGGCCUUCGGGUUGUAAAGCACUUUUAUCAGGAGCGAAACGCUGUCGGCUAAUACCCGGCGGAACUGACGGUACCUGAGGAAUAAGCACCGGCUAACUUCGUGCCAGCAGCCGCGGUAAUACGAAGGGUGCAAGCGUUAAUCGGAAUUACUGGGCGUAAAGCGUGCGUAGGCGGUUUCUUAAGUCUGCUGUGAAAUCCCCGGGCUCAACCUGGGAAUGGCAGUGGAUACUGGGAGGCUAGAGUGUGUCAGAGGGUGGUGGAAUUCCCGGUGUAGCGGUGAAAUGCGUAGAGAUCGGGAGGAGCAUCAGUGGCGAAGGCGGCCACCUGGGACAACACUGACGCUGAGGCACGAAAGCGUGGGGAGCAAACAGGAUUAGAUACCCUGGUAGUCCACGCCCUAAACGAUGCGAACUGGAUGUUGGUCUCAACUCGGAGAUCAGUGUCGAAGCUAACGCGUUAAGUUCGCCGCCUGGGGAGUACGGUCGCAAGACUGAAACUCAAAGGAAUUGACGGGGUCAUAGCUGUUUCC
rnacentral:rRNA from 1 species